rnacentral:rRNA from 1 species
UACGGAAGGCAGCGGUGGGGAAUAUUGCACAAUGGGCGCAAGCCUGAUGCAGCCAUGCCGCGUGUAUGAAGAAGGCCUUCGGGUUGUAAAGUACUUUCAGUCGUGAGGAAGGUGUUAAGGUUAAUAACCUUAGCAAUUGACGUUAGCGACAGAAGAAGCACCGGCUAACUCCGUGCCAGCAGCCGCGGUAAUACGGAGGGUGCGAGCGUUAAUCGGAAUUACUGGGCGUAAAGGGCACGCAGGCGGUUAAUUAAGUUGGAUGUGAAAUCCCCGGGCUUAACCUGGGAAUGGCAUUCAAGACUGGUUAGCUAGAGUCUUGUAGAGGGGGUAGAAUUCCAUGUGUAGCGGUGAAAUGCGUAGAGAUGUGGAGGAAUACCGGUGGCGAAGGCGGCCCCUGGACAAAGACUGACGCUCAUGUGCGAAAGCGUGGGGAGCAAACAGGGAUUAGAUA